rnacentral:lncRNA from 1 species
UGUGUGUGUGUGUGUGUGUGUGUGUGUCUAGGAAAGAGGCUCCAACAGGAAGAGGGAUUUGGAACAAGGCUUUAUGCAGAUAAAACCAACUACAGAGCUGGGCCACUUUUCAGGGAGCUUGGGAUUUUUCUUAUAUAGAAGACAAUUCCAGAUGGAAACAUAAGCCUUUUCUUGACUCAGCUGUUGCUCUCCUUACAGGGGCCUCAGAGUCUGAUCACCCAGCACAGAGACUUCUCAGGACGUGCCACAUCAAGACUUCCCCCUCCUGUGUCCAUCAACUUCUGUGCCUGGUGGUGAGGAGACUUGUGAUUCUAUCCAGGAAGAAUAAAUCAUGUUGGCUUGCAAUGACUCCUCUCUGGACCUUUUGUUAGAACGGCUUCUCUUCUCCACCCAAGUGGGGAAUACAGCACUUUAAGAAGAAAAGGACGGAGGAGCAGGGUUAGAACGGGCAUCAGAAACAGGUAACCUGUGGUCACUCCAGGCAAAGUGUUACCCUAUCAGGAAGGCUAAGUCCAAGGGUGAAGGUAAACCCUAAUAUUCUUUUAACAAGUAAAGGAAUUAGAUAACUCAUUAUGAAAGAAACAAAGCGUCAGCUUAGAUCGUGUGGCUUAUGUGAUAGCUGACUUGUUUCGCUCUCAAAAAUUUCAAGCACCCGCCAUGUCAACUGAGUGAAGUUUCAGCUCCUCAUCCUGGUGGGAUUCAGGGCAAUCUAAGGCAUGGCCCUGACCUGCCUUUCCAGGGUCAUUUUCUACUGCUCCCCUCAUUGGACCCUGUGCCCCAGCUGAGCUAAUUUCCUCAUACCUCCUGGCCCAGCCUUGCCCAUCUC